rnacentral:lncRNA from 1 species
AAAAGGAAAACUUUCCUAUAAUAGAAUUUUUGAGAAUUUUAUUUUAAAAAUACAAGCUAUUGAUCAAAAAAUCUAAGACAAUACUCAUCUAUCAACAAAAGUUCUUGUUAUCCUAAUUUCUAAAUCACAACCCCAAAUCCACUAAUUUUUUUAUAAAAAUGAAAAUUUUCCUAAAAUAGAAUCACAAACCCAAAUCUACAAUAUUUCUGAAUAAAAAUUAAAACUUUCCUAAAUUAGAAAUUCUGAGUAUUUUAUUUAAAAAAACUGAGUAUUUUAUUUAAAAAAUACAUGCUAUUGAUCAAAAAAUCUAAGACAAUCAACAAAAAUUCAUGUUAUCCUAAUUUCUAAUCACAAACCCAAAUCUACAAUAUUUCUGAAUAAAAAUUAAAACUUUCCUAAAAUAGACUUUUUGGGAAUUUUAUUUUAAAAAUACAAGCUAUUGAUCAAAAAAUCUAAAAGAAUACUCAUCUAUCAACA